rnacentral:tRNA from 3 species
GGGCCUAUAGCUCAUCUGGUAGAGCGCACCCUUCGCAUGGGUGAGGUGGCCGGUUCGAGUCCGGCUAGGUCCACCA